rnacentral:lncRNA from 1 species
AUAAAAGGACCAUGAGUCAAGUUGGGCUCAUUGUCCAACAGAGUUGUAGCAUAUGCCGUUGUGAAGGUUUUUGUUUGUACUAAAAUUGUUACUAUCGGCACUACCUUCAAUUCCAUGGCAAAAAAAAGAUAUACACUUAAAUAGGUUUUGUAGAAAAGGACAAUUGUUAGGAGUCGUAGUGCACUUGGUUGUUCAUGACAUAAAACCUAAUUCGCAGGAUUUGAUUAUGCUAGGAUUAUGGGACUACCUCAUAAUCACCAGGUCAGGAUCUGAUGAUGGAACCCCUGAGAAAUCGAGGGCAACUUUCGAAAAUUGUAGGCGUGCAUAGGUUAAAAACUUGACAGUGAGGUGUACGUCUGAUAACACUAUGCAACAGUGAAGGUUUGGAGCUGACCUGAUGAUGGAGACCGGAGAAGGUCGAGGGAACUCGACAACUUACAUAUUAAACUACCUCGUGUUUCGGCUUAUAUUAUUCGUAUUGAUGGGAACUUUCCACAAAUGCGGAUAGUGACAACUAUGCUUGUCACUGAAAAGCCAAAAAUAAAAAAAAACUUUUUCAUCGCACCAUCUCGGAAAGAGUAGUUUUACCCUUUGAUAUCUGAGCGCAAAAGUAGUUUUUAUCCUCUAGAGCGGCAAAGUGAUUUGAAUUUAGAACAUCGUGUGCAAUACUACAUUUGUGACAAUCUUGAUAAGACUUUUUAAACAAAUACAUAUUAAACAAAUAAAAUACUGCUUAAAAUAAUUAUUCAAUGAAUUAAGUAUUUUUUAUUAUUGUUUUUAAACAGAUUUUUAACGUCCUUUCAUUUUUAAAGUGAGUUUUUAAAUAUAUGAACUUUAAUAGGUACAUCUUUUUAAUUUGAUACUCGUAUGUGCGCGCCAUUUUGUUUUUAUGCAUUUAGUAAUUUCCUCGAUGAGGUGGGAUGAAAAGUUACGUGUUGCACUCGAGUGCAAAGAUUUUUCACCUUGUGCUCUUUUGAUUCCCUCGCUAUCGCUCAGGAUUCUAAUUAUUGAAACACUCGCUACGCUCGUGUUUCAAUUUUAGAAUCCUUCGCUUGCUCGGUCAUCAAAAUUGAGCCCGCGGUUAAAAAGCAACUUUGCACUCUUGUAUAACAAAUAACUAUU